ensembl:lncRNA
AAUCAGCUCCUGCUGCAGCUCUAGCCUGUGAGGACCUCCUUAAGCCCAUGGAUCCACCACGACUAGACCAGCAGCUCUUGAGGAGAUGGGCCCUCGUCGCAGGCAGCUUGAGCCACCCUGCAUCCCUGGAGAGUCUCAAGACCAGAGACGGCAUCACCAUGGAGUUUUCACCCUCUACCCCCAACACCACCCAGAACUCCAACACCGCCACAACCGUCCACUACACCCAGACUAACCGUUUUGGCAGCCGUUGCGAGUCUCUAACCUACAAUAUCUCACUCAUCAACGACAACAGCACCUUCCAAUUCAACGUGGGGGGCCGAUUCAACCUCACUGGGGUCUUCCUGGAGACCUCCUGCCCAGACUGUCUGGUGAUGAAGUGGGAGGUGAGCUCCAGGAGGAGGGAGUCCACGGACCUGUACCUGCUGAGGAAGACGGAGGGUGGGAGAGAGGUGGAGGAAGAGGAGAUGGAAGAGUUCAGGAAACAGGUGGAGUGUAUGGGGCUGCCGCCGCCAGUGGUGAUGGAGCCGGGGGAUGCCCACUGUGGGUCCUAUCAGCUGCCCUGGAAACACUGAGGAGGAGGAGAAGACGAAGCUCGAUCAGAGUGAUCCGAGAGUGGGGGCCGUGAGACCGAUGUAGAGACACGUUUUCUGUCGUCUGUUUUGAUCGACGUCCCAAAUUCCACAACAAGAAUAAGAAGGUCCCCUGUAGAUCAGGAACGUUCCAGCCCAGUGGCGUCGUCACCAGCACAGACGAUACCAUAUCAAC